UCCCAAACUGGGAUUAGAUACCCCACUAUGCUUAGCCCUAAACCUAGAUAGUUAGCUCAAACAAAACUAUCCGCCAGAGAACUACUAGCAACAGCUUAAAACUCAAAGGACUUGGCGGUGCUUUAUAUCCCUCUAGAGGAGCCUGUUCUAUAAUCGAUAAACCCCGAUAAACCUCACCAUCUCUUGCUAAUUCAGCCUAUAUACCGCCAUCUUCAGCAAACAA
rnacentral:rRNA from 1 species